rnacentral:rRNA from 1 species
UACAGAGGUGGCAAGCGUUGUUCGGAAUUACUGGGCGUAAAGGGCGCGUAGGCGGCCUUCUAAGUCAGACGUGAAAUCCCCCGGCUUAACCUGGGAACUGCGUCUGAUACUGGGAGGCUUGAGUAUGGGAGAGGGAUGUAGAAUUCCAGGUGUAGCGGUGAAAUGCGUAGAUAUCGGAAGGAACAUCAGUGGCGAAAGCGACUUCCUGGACCAAUACUGACGCUCAUGUGCGAAAGCGUGGGGAGCAAACAGG